GGCCGGCGAUGCGUCCUGGUC
rnacentral:siRNA from 1 species